rnacentral:rRNA from 1 species
UGGGGAAUAUUGGGCAAUGGGCGCAAGCCUGACCCAGCAACGCCGCGUGAAGGAAGAAGGCUUUCGGGUUGUAAACUUCUUUUAUUGAGGACGAAACAAAUGACGGUACUCAAUGAAUAAGCCACGGCUAACUACGUGCCAGCAGCCGCGGUAAUACGUAGGUGGCAAGCGUUAUCCGGAUUUACUGGGUGUAAAGGGCGUGUAGGCGGGACUGCAAGUCAGAUGUGAAACCCAUGGGCUCAACCCAUGGCCUGCAUUUGAAACUGUAGUUCUUGAGUGAUGGAGAGGCAGGCGGAAUUCCGUGUGUAGCGGUGAAAUGCGUAGAUAUACGGAGGAACACCAGUGGCGAAGGCGGCCUGCUGGACAUUAACUGACGCUGAGGCGCGAAAGCGUGGGGAGCAAACA